rnacentral:rRNA from 1 species
AACACGACUCUCAACAAUGGAUAUCUCAGCUCUCGCCACGAUGAAGAAUGUAGCAAAAUGUGAUACUUAGUGUGAAUUGUAGAAUCCCGUGAAUCAUCAAGUCUUUGAACGCAAGUUGCGCCUGAGGCUCUGGCCGAGGGCACGUUUGCUUGGGCGUUGCAC